UACGUAGGGGGCAAGCGUUGUCCGGAUUUAUUGGGCGUAAAGAGCGUGUAGGCGGUUUGGUAGGUCCGUUGUGAAAACUCGAGGCUCAACCUCGAGACGCCGAUGGAAACCCCCUAACUAGAGUCCGGAAGAGGAGAGUGGAAUUCCUGGUGUAGCGGUGAAAUGCGCAGAUAUCAGGAAGAACACCCGUGGCUAAGGCGGCUCUCUAGUACGGUACUGACGCUGAGACGCGAAAGCGUGGGGAGCGAACAGG
rnacentral:rRNA from 1 species